rnacentral:rRNA from 1 species
GACGAACGCUGGCGGCGUGCCUAAUACAUGCAAGUCGAACGAGCGGCGGACGGGUGAGUAAUGUCUGGGAAACUGCCUGAUGGCGGGGGAUAACUACUGGAAACGGUAGCUAAUACCGCAUACCAUCAGAUGUGCCCCGAUGGGAUUAGCUAGUAGGUGGGGUAAUGGCUCACCUAGGCGACGAUCCCUAGCUGGUCUGAGAGGAUGACCAGCCACACUGGAACUGAGACACGGUCCAUACUCCUACGGGAGGCAGCAGUGGGGAAUAUUGCACAAUGGGCGCAAGCCGGAUGCAGCCAUGCCGCGUGUAUGAAGAAGGCCUUCGGGUUGUAAAGGACUUUCAGCGGGGAGGCGUUACCCGCAGAAGAAGCACCGGCUAACUCCGUGCCAACAGCCGCGGUAAUUC